UCAACAUGACCUUCAUCAUCAUCUUCAUCUGGACUCUCACAGCGUUUGCUCAAGAGUGUAGAGGACAGAUCAGCGUCACUCAGAGUCCCUCAACGACAGCAGCUCAACCAGGAGAAACAGUGAAGAUCAACUGUAGAACCAGCACAGAUGUGUAUUACAGUGGUGCUUAUCAUUUGUUAUCCUGGUACUUACAGAAACCUGGAGAAGCUCCUAAACUCCUGAUUUAUUAUGCAAACACCCUCCAGUCAGGAACUCCAUCUAGAUUCAGUGGCAGUGGAUCUAACAGUUAUUUCACUCUGACCAUCAGUGGAGUCCAGACUGAAGAUGCUGGACAUUAUUACUGUCAGAGUUACCACAGUGGUGGUGUGUUCACACAGUGAUAAAGAGUGGUACAAAAACCUCGGUCAGUCAGAGUCACAGUGACUGAACUGAUGCUGCAGCUGCUCAAAGGAGGAUCUGAAACAACAUUAUCACACAUGCAUCUGAAAUAAAAUCAUAUAAAAGAAUCUGUCACUCUUAAUAAUCAUAGAGGUUGUUCUUUACUUCUCUCAAACUUUGAAAUUGUGUGUUUUUAUUAUUUCAUCAUAUUCAUACUCUCUGUAGGGAGAAUAAAGAUAUUUUGGAAACUGGACUGAUUGAAUCUGCACAGCUUUGAGAUUUUGUGCUUUUAUAGAUUAGAGUCACGAGUGAGAUCUGACUGAUUCCAGUUUGUCUAAUUAUUAUUUUUUAAAUUAAUAACAGACAUUCAUUUUUUUUUAUAAUACUGUGUAAAAGUCAAAUCAGGAGGUAAUAAAGGCACAGAAAUAUGUAUCUAGAGACAGAGGGGUGAUGCUGGUGGCCUUGCGAAUAACUAAAU